UCUAAUGUAAUUUUUCUUCCAUAUCCAAGAAAUUGGAGCAUAUAUAUUGAGAGAUUAAUAAAUGAAUAACUCUACUAUUAUACAUAUAAAUAUAUUUUGAACAGUACAAUCACAAAAAUCAAGUUUAGGUAAUUAAAUUCUUUCGCUUUUGACUAUAUUCUUUACACCACUGCAACAAAAGAAGAGAACGGCAAAGAGGUAAAAUAUUAAUUUAAAUGGAUCAUAGUAAACAUACCUUAAUAAACACGGCAUAUGUAAGGGUCAUAAGUACAUAUAACACAAAAUAUAAAAUAAGAAAGCAAAAAAUUAGAUGAGUUAGAAUGUUUAGAAAAAUGUAGAGAUAAUUAGAAGCUUAAAAUUUAACUCUUUAUUUGUAGCUUCAUACCAUGUAGUUGGAAACAUAGCCACCAGGUUGACCAUAAAAUCCAUCAAAACACAUUAAUGAGGAAUUCAUCUUACUUUAGUUUUGAAUUCCUCUGACUUUCAGUAUCUAAGCCACAUUUUUACUGAAUUUUCUCUUCAAGUGCAGUAAAGUAGGUCAAAGAACAGAAAGCAAACAUUUCUAAGCCCUUUAAGUACAUUCCAAAUUAUUUUUCGCACCCUUUAAAUUUUGUGUCCCUGUAACAGAUUUUCUGUGAAAAAAGAGUUGUCGAAUUGUAGUUUGUAUAUUAAUAAUGACUGCUAACUGAUUUUAUGUGUUAAUUGAGCUCCUCUAAAGGGCCCUAAGAGAUUUAGAUGUGAAAAAUUGAAUGGAUCGUCUUUUAGGAGGAAAUAUACCAAAAAUCAGAUCAAG